ensembl:lncRNA
UUAAGCUGCUAGGUAUCAUUUUCACUCCUAAUGAACAUGUGUCUUGUCAACAAGUUAUUGCAAGUACUUUCCAACUCAGAUAUCUAUUACCAGGUCAAACGGUGAGCUGUUCAGCACAGUGCCUUCCCCUUCAACAUAAAAGACUUAAAGAAGAAAUCGAAGCCACAUUUCCAGGUCUGGAGGGUCAAUGGCAACACAAUUUAUUUGAUCUUCGUCCACUAGACUUAAUUUUAGACUUUUACGUAGUUGUUCUUAUAAAACAGAUCCUACAGAGCAAGGACUCACCAAGCAACCCCGGGAUGUCUCAUGAAUUUUUAUAAGUAGAGAGGAAACACGAGUGAGAACGCAGCUCCGAGCCCAGAAGCACGUGAAGUGAGGUUGCAGUGGUACCUCUGGAACGAACAGCC